CCGUGGCUUCGGGUGAAGGGGAAGUAGGGUUACUCUUCAUAGGGAACCCGAAGACUGCUCUGGAGCCCGAGACCCCAGGACUGGACAAGCCGCUCCGGGGCGGAAUCACCAGGGUGGGCGAGGGCAGUCUCACGCUCACCGAGCCGCGGAUCUCACAAUGCUCCGGCUGCUCGAUGAUGCCAGUCGCGUUGGGCUCAACGUGCAACUCUGCCAUAUUUUCGCAGCACAAACACAGGUUGUGCAGCGGCUCCAGAACUGGGGUAACAUGUUGAUCCAUCCAUUCCUGGACCGUAGAGUCCGAAUAAAGCAGACGCAUUUCAGCCCUCACCUCCACCACCUGGAUCUCCACAGCAUCAAGAAACCUGUUUGACCAGAGAAAAAAUAAGGUUAUAUUACGUCAUAGGGACCCUGAUAAAAUACACAUGAAUAUGACUGUGAUGCAUCAAACCAACAUCAAGGGCAACUAUAUUUAAUAUGUUAGUAUUUUUCAAUUAAAACAAAGUACUUAUAAUACAA